AUUGAACGCUGGCGGCAUGCUUUACACAUGCAAGUCGAACGGCAACAGGCCGCAAGGUGCUGACGAGUGGCGAACGGGUGAGUAAUGCAUCGGAACGUGCCCAGUCGUGGGGGAUAACGCAGCGAAAGCUGUGCUAAUACCGCAUACGAUCUAUGGAUGAAAGCGGGGGACCGGAAGGCCUCGCGCUAUUGGAGCGGCCGAUGUCAGAUUAGGUAGUUGGUGGGGUAAAGGCUCACCAAGCCAACGAUCUGUAGCUGGUCUGAGAGGACGACCAGCCACACUGGGACUGAGACACGGCCCAGACUCCUACGGGAGGCAGCAGUGGGGAAUUUUGGACAAUGGGCGCAAGCCUGAUCCAGCAAUGCCGCGUGCAGGAAGAAGGCCUUCGGGUUGUAAACUGCUUUUGUACGGAACGAAAAGGUUUGGGUUAAUACCCUGGGCCGAUGACGGUACCGUAAGAAUAAGCACCGGCUAACUACGUGCCAGCCGCCGCAGUAAUAC
rnacentral:rRNA from 1 species